UGUGGCAGCGCUGUUGUGGGUGAGGCUGCUGUGUCGGGAACCAGCUCUGCAGGCUGCUGAAGGCCUCUGUAAUUUGUCCUGAUGCACGUUGACCACAUCCCUGCUGUCGUCCGCAAAUAAAAGGAUUAGUCUCUUGCCAGGUGGUUUUACCUGUGCUUUGAAUUAACCUCUUCGUUUGUAUUAACAGAACCUGACACGCACAGUGAGUGCUUCUGGUAAAGAGGGAGGUGUGUGUGGUGUGCAGCCGAUAAGUAACAGUGGUUAAUAAUUGUUUUGUUAACUGACAGUGUAAAAGCCAUUGCCACGGGCCUCAUCGACGCCAUAUGCACAACAGGCAGAGCGCCCAUGGAGAGCAAGGUCUCCCAGGCCCAUAUCCCUUCGCUGAAGACCCCAGCAGCUGUGAUAUUGUCACGGCUACACGUGUUACACAAGUACAUGUUCUGAGGGUGCAAAGUGUUGCAAGAGAUGGGAGUGUCCUCAGAUGUGAGCCAGGCUGGAUAUUUUUACAAAGGAAACAUUGUCCGUUUCAUUUUCUCCCUGUAGUUGUGCUAAACAGCUAUUAUAGCAUUGGCUUUUGCGGGUAGUGAAAUGUAAGAAAUAUUAUGUAUUAGAAUAUGUUAGGAAAUAUUAUGUGUCAACAUGUUAAGAAUAACUUUGUUAUGCAGAUAAUAACUAGUUAAUGUUAUAACUGGGGUCAAAGUUACAAGAUACUCAUAUAGCUUGAUUUAUAAGAUAUCUAUAUCAUCUGAAUCAUAACUUUUUAUACCUAUAUAAUUUGAAUGAUAACUUUUUUAUACAAUGUAAUAGCGAGUGUAUGGUUAAUUCAUCGCUUAAUGCUCAAAUAAACGGAAACUCGCCAAGUGAAUAAUUGCAAAAACAGACAAGUAUAGCUGGAUAAAGGAAGCAGCAGGAUGUACUAAUGAGAAGUUGGCAACAGUGAAACCAAUUAGCCACAAAGUACAGAAUUUAAACCGGUUGGAUCCAGAAAGACCCAGGAACACCAUAACUGAGCAUGCUCUAAAGGCAAAGUUGAAAAGUUCAAGAUAUGAGGAGGACGGGAGCCUUCAUCGGAGAGGACCCCUGAGGACCCUCAUGAUCAUCUACGCAUGCUCUGAAAGGCGGGUCGGGGGAGGAACUAUGUUAAUCCCUUCUAAAAAAAUGUAUGGAAUGGCAGAACUGGUAGAAGCAGGAUACGAUGUUCGCCAACCAGACAAAGAAAACGUGACUCUUCUUCAGUGGGCAGCAACAAACAGCAGACAGGAGGAGCUGGUGAAGUAAGCCGGGAGUCCCUGUGACAGUAACGCAGCGUAUUCUGCCACUGUUACCUAUAAUCGCUUUGUUGCUUUUGUACUGGAAAAGGAACACGGUGCCUGAGAAGAAAAGGGUAGAAUUCAAAUUUUGAUGCACUUAGCUUUGUGUCGAUGUCACUGGAAUGUAAAGACAGCACGGUUUCUUUAGAUGUGAAAUCAUGUAUUGCAUGAAACCAUUAGAUUUUUCAUGGGUUUGUUUCUGUAACAAAGAUGAAAGCUGAUUUUAGAAGUACCUUGCUAAAGACUAUAUUUUUUCUUCAACAUUUUCUUGAAACAGUGUCAUUUACUGCAAAAGCACUUCUGUCCAUUUGCUUCUCUAGUGAAUUUUUUACUAGGAGUCAUUUACUUCUUUAGCUGUGUUAUCAUUCGUAUCAUGUUUUGCUAUUUUGUCUGUUCCUGACCUUCCUGUGUUGUUAUUACACAGAUAUUACAUUUCCAAAGGUGCGUAGUGGAUCAGCUUGGUGGAGAUUUGAAUUCUGCGCCCCUGCACUGGGCCAUUAGGUAAUGCUGCUUGCAACCACUAGUUGCAAAUCUCUCGGUAUUGACAGCUGUGGUAGCGUUUUCUGAGAUACGCAGAACAAAGCACUGCUUGGCUGGAGAAAACAUAUGCUGAAAUAAUUCUUCUGGGAAAACUUGUCCGAGUGCAAAUUCUCCCAUUGGAAGAUCAGUGUUUUCUUCUGGAUGAUCAGUCUUUUGCCAGAGUCAGAGACUUGGAUGACUGCUCAGAGGAGAAACUACUGUAGAAUAACCUCUGUAUUCUAAAUGAACACUUUGCCCUAGGCUCAUUCAUUAAGGUAUAUAUUUAAUAUAAUUUGCUGAAAAAGCCAUGAGAAUCUGAGGGAAAACUGGUUUUUGUGUGGUCUCUAUGAGAACUAUAAGGGCAAUGCUUUCAAUAAAAUAUCAGGUUUUUAAAUCA